GCCAGACUCCUACGGGAGGCAGCAGUGGGGAAUAUUGCACAAUGGGGGAAACCCUGAUGCAGCGACGCCGCGUGAGUGAAGAAGUAUCUCGGUACGUAAAGCUCUAUCAGCAGGGAAGAAAAAAAGUCUUUGGCUUUGGACGGUACCUGACUAAGAAGCCCCGGCUAACUACGUGCCAGCAGCCGCGGUAAUACGUAGGGGGCAAGCGUUAUCCGGAUUUACUGGGUGUAAAGGGAGCGUAGACGGCAACGCAAGUCUGGAGUGAAAGCCCGGGGCCCAACCCCGGGACUGCUCUGGAAACUGCGGCGCUGGAGUACGGGAGGGGCAGGCGGAAUUCCUGGUGUAGCGGUGAAAUGCGUAGAUAUCAGGAGGAACACCGGCGGCGAAGGCGGCCUGCUGGACCGUGACUGACGUUGAGGCUCGAGAGCGUGGGGAGCAAACAGGAUUAGAUACCCGUGUAA
rnacentral:rRNA from 1 species